rnacentral:tRNA from 2 species
CGGGGUAUAGCGCAGCCCGGUAGCGCGCGUCGUUCGGGACGACGAGGCCGCAGGUUCGAAUCCUGCUACCCCGA